AGAUAUCAAAUGUCUGUACACUAAUUCGAUAAAUAAAUGAAAAGGAGCUCAGGAUGGUGCGCAGUGUCUCCUCCCAUUGUUCUCCACAACAAUCCUGUGAGUGACUGUAAUGCUGAGGAAUUCCAGAGAAUAUUUUGAAGACUUCUGGAGUAUUGGAAUAUAUUCUUAGUGGGAGCUAUUGACUCUGCAGGAGCACACAAGAGCAAGUCAAUCUGGUAACAGUUUACCCCAUCGUGGC